CAGCAGCCGCGGGAAUACGAAGGGGGCUAGCGUUGCUCGGAAUGACUGGGCGUAAAGGGCGCGUAGGCGGUUUUGACGGUCAGAUGUGAAAUUCCUGGGCUUAACCUGGGGGCUGCAUUUGAGACGUCAAGACUAGAGUGUGAGAGAGGGUUGUGGAAUUCCCAGUGUAGAGGUGAAAUUCGUAGAUAUUGGGAAGAACACCGGUGGCGAAGGCGGCAACCUGGCUCAUUACUGACGCUGAGGCGCGAAAGCGUGGGGAGCAAACAGGAUUAGAUACCCCAGUAGUCCCUGUCUCUUAUAC
rnacentral:rRNA from 1 species